GACAGAGGGGGCAAGCGUUGCUCGGAAUCACUGGGCGUAAAGGGCGCGUAGGCGGGAUGGCAAGUCGGUCGUGAAAUCCUUCGGCUCAACCGAAGAACGUCGGCCGAUACUGCCGUUCUUGAGGGAUGCAGAGGAGAUUGGAAUUCCCGGUGUAGCGGUGAAAUGUGUAGAGAUCGGGAGGAACACCGGUGGCGAAGGCGGGUCUCUGGGCAUCUCCUGACGCUGAGGCGCGAAAGCGUGGGUAGCAAACAGG
rnacentral:rRNA from 1 species